GAGGAAAAUACACAAGAUGCCAGCUUGUGAGAAGUGCUAACAAAAAAAGACACAAGUAUGUCCAGAGAGUCUGAGGUGUAUACAGUAGUUACUGGUACCCACUAUGCACCAGCCACUGUGCUGGGCACGGAUGGACACACAUCAGCCCCUGCCCGCGUGGUGGAACAGGGAUAUGGGAGAGAAAGACAACAAACAACUCGGUGUACAAACAGUCAACUACAGUGGCAAAGAUUAAAUCCUCAUACCUCUCUGGAAGAGUGGAGGGGACCACAUUCCAGCAUCUGGUGCCCUGUUUGCCCCAAACAUGACUUCAAGUGAAUCCACAUAAUACUCUUCCAGAGGGAAAGCAGAACCAUCUGCAGGGCUGAGGGACCAAGAAACACAGCGAGGAAUUCCACAGGAGGCCCACGCGGAGGGAUGUAUCACCCCAGGUGGACUCUAGGGGACGCUCACUUGGAGCUUGCAUCACCCGGAACUGUGUCUGCCACUGUGACUUCAGAGCAGCACAGACCUGAGGUGGAUCCAGCAAUGCCCACAACUGUCCAACAAUUUCACUUUUCCGAGGCUCAGUUUCCAUGUGGAAAAUGGACUGGCUCUGAGUAUUAAAUGAGAAUGAAUGUCCAUAUGUCUCACUCCUUUCUUCAUGAAAGGAAGACACCUCUGGGACUCAGAAAAAUGGUCAAUAACAUCUAGUCUUUAUUCAGUCCUAACUGCAUGACAAUACAACUAGUGUAACAGUCAUCAACAUAAGGAAUGCUCUCAAUAUUGCUCGAUGCCCUGUGCGCUAUCACUAAUAGCAACAACUGCUGUUCAUCUAUGCCACGAUAUGCACCAAAUCUACACCACUCCUUUAAGGUGUCACUGUCUCCAUUCCACAGACGAGAAAACUGAGCCUCCAGAAGAGGAAAGUGUAGAUGAGUUAAUUUUUCCCUACCCAACGUUGAUUCCUAUUCCUUCUGAUCAUGGUGCCCUGACUUCUUUUGGGAGAAUUCCCUCUUCUCUGUGACAGGCUGACUGGUGGGAUUAUCAGUCAAGGUGCCCACCUCCUCUAGCUCUCCCCAUCUCUCUCAGUCUCUGGAGUUUCUGUUUCAAGCAUAAGGACAGAAGCAUUAGAAAUGGCUGAAGCUGAUUUGCCCCAGGAGGAGGGUGGGGUCGUGUCCUGAGGAGACGCUCUUGUGGGACCCUGCUUCUUGGACUCCUUGGAUCCCAGCCCCACCCCACCCCUAGACAGCCUUAUUCUGCCUUCAGAGUCUGGUCCUUUGCUUUCCUUUAAAUUUUGAGACCCUCUUGGGUCUGCCCUUUCCCAUUUAGGUUAUAGCCAGAUUGGUUUCUGUUGCUUGCAUCCCUCAAAGUCUGCCUGACACAGGAAGUGACUCCUCCAGGGUCAUCCGGCCCAUGAGUGGCAUAGUCAGAGGAAGCCCUCCGUAACCAGGCCCCCAAGCCAGUGCUCUCUCCAUCAUGCCACAUGGCUGGCCUUGGGGUGGUCCUGCCAUAGGGAGAGCUUUCUGAGAUGGGCGGGGGGGCAGAUUAUCAUCAAAGACCUGGUGAUGGAAAGACACAUGGCAUGGCUUCAUGGUUAUGGAGCCUGCAUGGAGGCCAAUGUGCUGGAGGAGAGCUUUGAAGGCAUCCAUGGAAGCAGAUGACAGAAGCCUGAAAGCCAUGUGUGGCCACACACCUGCUUCUGCCAUAAUUGAUGAGACCCCUUU
rnacentral:lncRNA from 1 species